AGAGUUAGUCCUGGCUCAGAGCGAACGCUGGCGGCAGGCCUAACACAUGCAAGUCGAACGGACCCUUCGGGGUUAGUGGCGGACGGGUGAGUAACACGUGGGAACGUGCCUUUAGGUUCGGAAUAGCUCCUGGAAACGGGUGGUAAUGCCGAAUGUGCCCUUCGGGGGAAAGAUUUAUCGCCUUUAGAGCGGCCCGCGUCUGAUUAGCUAGUUGGUGGGGUAAUGGCCCACCAAGGCUACGAUCAGUAGCUGGUCUGAGAGGAUGACCAGCCACAUUGGGACUGAGACACGGCCCAAACUCCUACGGGAGGCAGCAGUGGGGAAUCUUGCGCAAUGGGCGAAAGCCUGACGCAGCCAUGCCGCGUGUAUGAUAAAGGUCUUAGGAUUGUAAAAUACUUUCACCGGUGAAGAUAAUGACUGUAGCCGGAGAAGAAGCCCCGGCUAACUUCGUGCCAGCAGCCGCGGUAAUACGAAGGGGGCUAGCGUUGCUCGGAAUUACUGGGCGUAAAGGGAGCGUAAGCGGACAUUUAAGUCAGGGGUGAAAUCCCAUGACCUCAACUCUGGAGCUGCCUUUGAUACUGGAUGUCUUGCGUAUGAGAGAGGUCUGCUGGAACUCUGCAUUGUAGAGGUGA
rnacentral:rRNA from 1 species